CAGUAGCCGCGGUAAUACGAAGGGUGCAAGCGUUACUCGGAAUUACUGGGCGUAAAGCGUGCGUAGGUGGUGGUUUAAGUCCGUUGUGAAAGCCCUGGGCUCAACCUGGGAAUUGCAGUGGAUACUGGGUCACUAGAGUGUGGUAGAGGAUGGUGGAAUUUCCGGUGUAGCAGUGAAAUGCGUAGAGAUCGGAAGGAACAUCUGUGGCGAAGGCGACUAUCUGGGCCAACACUGACACUGAGGCACGAAAGCGUGGGGAGCAAACAGGAUUAGAUACCCCUGUAGUCCCUGUCUCUUAUAC
rnacentral:rRNA from 1 species